UACGAAGGGGGCUAGCGUUGCUCGGAAUCACUGGGCGUAAAGGGUGCGUAGGCGGGUAUUUAAGUCAGGGGUGAAAUCCUGGAGCUCAACUCCAGAACUGCCUUUGAUACUGAGUAUCUUGAGUACGGGAGAGGUGAGUGGAACUGCGAGUGUAGAGGUGAAAUUCGUAGAUAUUCGCAAGAACACCAGUGGCGAAGGCGGCUGACUGGUCCGGUUCUGACGCUGAGGCGCGAAAGCGUGGGGAGCAAACAGG
rnacentral:rRNA from 1 species